rnacentral:rRNA from 1 species
CCUACGGGAGGCAGCAGUAGGGAAUCUUCCGCAAUGGACGAAAGUCUGACGGAGCAACGCCGCGUGAGUGAAGAAGGUUUUCGGAUCGUAAAACUCUGUUGUCAGGGAAGAACAAGUACGGGAGUAACUGACCGUACCUUGACGGUACCUGGCCAGAAAGCCACGGCUAACUACGUGCCAGCAGCCGCGGUAAUACGUAGGUGGCAAGCGUUGUCCGGAAUUAUUGGGCGUAAAGCGCGCGCAGGCGGCCUUUUAAGUCUGAUGUGAAAGCCCCCGGCUCAACCGGGGAGGGUCAUUGGAAACUGGAAGGCUUGAGUGCAGAAGAGAAGAGCGGAAUUCCACGUGUAGCGGUGAAAUGCGUAGAGAUGUGGAGGAACACCAGUGGCGAAGGCGGCUCUUUGGUCUGUAACUGACGCUGAGGCGCGAAAGCGUGGGGAGCGAACAGGAUUAGAUACCCUGGUAGUCCACGCCGUAAACGAUGAGUGCUAAGUGUUGGGGGGUUUUCCGCCCCUCAGUGCUGCAGCUAACGCAUUAAGCACUCCGCCUGGGGGNAGUACNGCCGCAAGGCUGAAACUCAAAUGAAUUGACGGGG